rnacentral:rRNA from 1 species
CAGCCGCCGCGGGAAUACAGAGGGUGCAAGCGUUAAUCGGAUUUACUGGGCGUAAAGCGUGCGUAGGUGGCUGUUUAAGUCGGAUGUGAAAGCCCUGGGCUUAACCUGGGAACUGCAUUCGAUACUGGAUAGCUAGAGAUCGGUAGAGGGCAGCGGAAUUCCGGGUGUAGCGGUGAAAUGCGUAGAUAUCGGAAGGAACACCUGUGGCGAAAGCGGCUCACUGGACCAUAACUGACGCUGAUGCACGAAAGCUAGGGGAGCAAACAGGAUUAGAUACCCGCGUAGUCCCUGUCUCUUAUAC